UGUGCAUAAUAUUUUGAGACUUCCCGUUGCUACUGCUACAAUUUCUGAUUGUGUAUAUCAGAAGAAUGGUUUGUAUUCUGUUAAAUCUGGUUAUAGGGUGGCUACGAUGACUAGGAGCAGGGGCCAACUGGGUGUGAGCCAGGGUGAAUGGUCCAAGAUGUGGAGUCUGAACAUUCCUCGUGUUAAGCUGUUUCUAUAGAAAGCAUCCAAAGAUGUUUUGCCAGUCAGAUCUGCUUUACUUCGACAUGCCGUUUGAUGGAGUAUAUGGAAGCAAAGAAAUUCCCAGCCUGUGGCACUCGUUUCGGUCAUCUUCAAGUCGUGCAACUGUAGUUAAUGGCAUUGCUUUUCAGGACUGGUUUGAUUACAUCUGGUAAGAUGGGACGUCAUAGAUGGAGUAGACCAAGUUUGGGUUUUGUGAAGUGUAACUCGGACGCAUCAUUGUUUACUUUGAGUCAAACAUUGGGUAUUGGUUGUGUUGUAAGGAAUCAUCAGGGGUUGUUUUUGUGGGGAUUUUCUAAGACUUUUUCAGGACUUAAGGUAGCUUAUGAAGCUGAAGCAAUUGUUCUUCGCCAAGCCAUUUUAUGGGUUCAAUCUCUAGGUUAUUCAAAGAUGAUUCUUGAAAUGGAUUGCGAACAUGUGGUGGAUGCUCUUAAUUCUUCUUCCUGCGGGAUUUCAGACUUUGAUAUUUUUAAUUCAUAGUUUUCUGUUCGUUUUGAGUAUAGGUAAGCUAAUAUUGUUACUCACUCCUUAGCACCAGCUUCAGUUGAUUAUGAUAGUCCAACUGUUUGGCAUUCCUUCUUCA